rnacentral:misc_RNA from 13 species
ACGAUUGAAAUUUCGCAGAGGAUAGAAUGCGCUCGUUUGAGACGAGUUCAUCCGGUAAAGCAAAUGAUUAGUGGCAAAAUGACCUCAACCUAUUUCCUAACUCCGAAUAAAUGAGAUUCCUAAUUUUCUUGGAGGGAAACCACGGGAAUCGGAUCUGCGUGCCAAAUGGGCCCAUUUUAGUAAGCAGAACUGGCGCUAAGGGACGAACCGAACGUAGAAUUGCUAGAAUCAACGCUCAUCCUGAAAUGUUGCUUAAGACAGUACGUGCUACCCAGUGUAAAUCGAUAAGUGCUAAUGUUGUAUGAAUGUGUAUCAAAUCACCUACAGCAGCAACUUGGAUGGUGCUGUGGCGUCGUGCCUGUUCACUGCAUUCUGCGGCGCUGUUAAUUUUUCUACAAUUGACCAGUAGGCCACUAGACCGU